AAUUGAUAAACAUGGGCAUUGUUUAAGCUGGCUGGAUGAUUCAAGUAAAAUAAUAAAACCAAAACUUUCCAGACAGCAAUUUGAAGGACGCAACGAGUUGAUGCUUCCUCUAAAUCAAGACAACAAUACAUUUUGCACAUGCUCAUCCAAAUGGGUUCCCUCCGACAGAAGAGAAAGGUGAUGGGGUAGCAGGGGCUGAGAUUCUACCGGCCAACUGUUGAUCCAUAUUUAUAGCACCAAAAGCA
rnacentral:misc_RNA from 1 species